GGAUGUGAUCAUACCAGCACUAAAGCACCGGAUCCCAUCAGAACUCCGAAGUUAAGCGUGCUUGGGCGAGAGUAGUACUAGGAUGGGUGACCUCCUGGGAAGUCCUCGUGUUGCAAUCC
rnacentral:rRNA from 1 species